GAAUGAGUUAGAGAGUGUAAAAAGGCUUUGUAAGAGAAAGAGAUCAUUGCUGAUUCUCUUGGUUAAAGUUAGCAUGGUAUCAGGCCUGCUUUCCCUUCUAAUAACAGCUCUGGGAUUUUGAACCAAGACUCCCAAAUUCCUUGAGAUCCUAUUCAGCUCUCUGGAAAGCCCAAUGCAAUAAGCCUGCUCCUCUGUCCACAACGCCCCUUCGGAUGGAUGAAGACAACAGCUGUUGUUCUCACAUCUCCUCUUUCCAGCCAAACACUCCCAGAUUUUGCACCCAAUAUGAUUACCAAAUUACUACAGGAUUUAGCCGCCCUUGAGAAAGAAACAAGAAAGAACAAACAAUAGAAGUAGUUCCCUGAUGCCCAGGCUGGUGUCUUGCCUCUGGAUCGGCAGCCAGUACCGCAGUGAACUACCCGCGGAAAACAGUCACAGCCUGUUUGCCUUCCCCAGUCCCUCAGCUCCCACAGCCAAGCUGGACACCAGCUUGGACACUCCAGGGAUCUGUCUCCACCUAAACCUUGUCCCGUCCCUGCCCCUGACUGGCCCUUAUUUGAGCUGGGUCCAUUUUCUUGGCCACAUUGCUGACUGCAGUGCACGCUCAUUCCAGAAAAUGCCGACCUCUGCUCCAAGCCGCCUUGUCGGCAGUUUCCCAGACAUAGCUGGACUGUUUAUUUAUUUAUUUUUGUGUUAGCAGAGAGGAGAAAAUCACAUCGGCCUAAAAUGAAUACUAAUGAAAUGCCUUCGUUAGCUUCCUUUGUGAUCAGAAUGAAAAAUCGGAUUUCCGCAGAAUUGCAAGCCAUAUAUUUCUUUCCCCCAACCUUUUUCUCUUCUUUUUUUUUUUUUUUUUGCCCUUUCCUCUGAUAGGAAGAUUAGGGACAACCAAGAAGGAAAGUUAAAGUCAUUCCAUAAAAGAUAUCUGCAUUUUUAGGGGUGCCUUUGUUGCAGAGGGACAAGGAGGUGCAAUUUCUCCAAACCCAUUUUUCUCAGCCUGUAAAGCAAAUGUACCUAUUUGUCCUCUGCUGCAACAAUGCCAGCUGCAUUCAAUCAACUGAGAAGCUGCAAGC
ensembl:lncRNA